UACGAAGGGGGCUAGCGUUGCUCGGAAUCACUGGGCGUAAAGGGUGCGUAGGCGGGUUCUUAAGUCAGGGGUGAAAUCCUGGAGCUCAACUCCGGAAAUGCCAUUGAAACUGCAAAACUUGAGGACGAGAGAGGUGAGUGGAAUUCCCAGUGUAGAGGUGAAAUUCGUAGAUAUUGGGAAGAACACCGGUGGCGAAGGCGGCUCACUGGCUCGUUUCUGACGCUCAGGCGCGAUAGCGUGGGGAUCAAACAGG
rnacentral:rRNA from 1 species